UUGAGACGCCGGUUCCCGUAUGAUCACCGAAGUUAAGCAUCGUCAAGCCUUGUCAGUACCUAGAUGAGCGACUGCUUGGGAAUACCAAGUGA